rnacentral:rRNA from 1 species
AAUGGGCGGCAGGCCAGGGUGUUCACCCGCUMAAUUUAAGCAUAUAAGUCAGCGGAGGAAAAGAAAUCAAUUGAGAUUCCCUUAGUAGCUGCGAGCGAACAGGGAAUAGCCCGAGACCGAAUCCCAAGGCCCCCCGGGGUCUUGGGACCUGUAGUCUAAGGGCUGGCUUCGCAAUGGGGAGGUUCGCAGCAUACGGGUUGAGUUCCCGAGGCACAGGGCGUUACACGCGACCUGGUGGAUCGAACCGGCGAGGGGUCAGCCCGUGAGUAGGUUAGCUUGAAAGUGCUAGCUGAAUACGGGUGGUGCUGGCCAUCCAAGGCUAAAUAUGAAAGCAUAGUGACUGAUAGCAAACAAGUACCGUAAGGGAAAGCUGAAAAGCACCUCGUCUGAGGAGCUAAAAGAGCAUGAAAUCCGCCUAACGUGAACCGGACAUCCUGGCUCGUUGAACAGCAUCGGUGGGGGUAGCUCCCUGCCACAUGGUGCUUAGUAAGACACGGCUGCGGUGGAGGUCCUGCUGGGGAGGUGGCUGAUGGUCGGCUGUAUCUACGGAUGCGGUCGCCCUAGGUCACCAGAUCCGCGGGGCUUCGCCGUCUAGGCUUGUGAUUGGUGGGGAGGACUCGUCCGACCCGCCAUCUCAGGUGUGUAAGAGCUAGGUUUCCGACCCGUCUUGAAACACGGACCAAGGAGUCCAACGUACAUGCAAGUCAUCCAGCAUUCAUGCUGAACGGCGAAGCUCAGGCAAAAAGCAUCAAGGGGCCCCCGGGCCCCCGCAGUGCUCUCCUAGGUGGUCUCUCGGGGCUGCACUGGAGUUUGAGCAUGUCAUGUUAGGUCCCGAAAAACGACGAGCUAUGCUUGAGUAGGCUGAAGCCAGGAGAAAUCUUGGUGGAAGGCCGUCGCAGUACUGACGUGCAAAUCGUUUGUCAAACUUGAGUAUAGGGGCGAAAGACCAAUCGAGUCGUUUAGUAGCUGGUUUCCACCGAAGUUUCCCUCAGGAUAGCAAAGGAAGGCAGAGUAUAGGGCGGUAAAGACAAUGAUUAGGAGUCCCGGGGGCUAUCGGCCCUCGGCUCAUUCUCAAACUUUAAAUGCUCUAAAGCCGGGGUCCGUCUUAACCGCGGGCCUCGGCUGUAUCGUAGGUUCCUUUAGUGGGCCACGUUGGUAAGCAAGGAUGGCAAAAAGGGUUCAAACUUAUGCCCGGUUAGGCUCUCGAAAGUGUUGACACCUACCAAUCAAAAGGCGUUAUCCCAUGAUGACAGCUGGGCAGUGGCCAUGGAAGCCGGCAUCUGCUAAGGAGUGCGUGACAGCUCACCAGCCGAAUGGGGUAGCCCUGAAAAUGGACGAGGUUAAAUCAGCAUAGCCAUACCGGGCCGAGUCCCCUGAUAAAGCGUCACAAGCAGUUAACCUGCGCUAUCAUGGAGUAAACGAGUAGGGCGGAUACCCUGGUCGGGUUGAAGCGGUCCGGUGACGGGCCGUGGACUGGCCAGGGCAGCAGAUCUUGGUAGUAGUAGCAAGUAUUCAUAUGCAACACUCUGAAGGCCGUAGUGGAGGAGGGUUCCUCAACAACAGCAGUUGAUUGGGGGUUAGUCGGAAUCUAAGCGUCAAGGGAAACCUUUUGACAGGGUAGGCGUUCUCGGUAGGGGCAACUCGACCGGGUCCGUUUGCCCUGGACGCGACAGAGAAGCAGGUUAAUAUUCCUGCACUAGAUCGUUGAGCAGUGGGCGACCUUAAAGCAAUAUCCGAAACUGGUGACAUAGCUGGGAACCGCGAGAGGGAUUUUCCCUCCUUGCUAAGGGUGUUAAUCGCUCUGGUCAGUAUGCAUUGCGCAGAGAGCCAGGCAACCUACACCCUGAGAGUAUGCCGUUCUUCGGUGUAUUCGUGGUCUCCUUCCGCUAUCCUAGAAAAGCCAGUGGCUGGGUGAAAAGCGUUGCGCUUCGAUCUAACCGUACCUAAUCCGCAUCAGGUCUCCAAGAUGAGCAGUCUCUGGCGCAUAGAACAAAGUAGCGUAAGGGAAUUCGGCAAGCCGGAUUCGUAACCUCGGGAUAAGGAUUGGCUCUAUAGGCUGGGCUACCUGGGCCGGGUAAGGCAGGGGUGGUGUUAAGUAGUCAGCAAGGCGCUUCACGGUGUCGAGCAGGCGAACGAUGCUAUCCAGGCUGAAAACUGGAUCGGGGUCUGGGCUUCACGGCUCAGGCUUUGAAAACCGGGUAGCCACUAACAGCUCACAUAGAACUUAUAAAGGCAAGGGGAAUCCAACUGUAUAAUUAAAACAUAGCGAUUUGUUGGUGCCAAAGYGUGUAAACGAAUCGUGAUUUCUGCCCAGUGCUCUGGAUGUUAAAAUGGCGAAAUCCAACCAAGCUCGGGUAAACGGCGGGAGUAACUAUGACUCUCUUAAGGUAGCCAAAUGCCUCGUCAUUUAAUUUGUGACGCGCAUGAAUGGAUUAAUGAGAUUCCCACUGUCCCUACCUACUAUYUAGCGAAACCACAGCCAAGGGAACGGGCUUGGCACAAUUAGCGGGGAAAGAAGACCCUGUUGAGCUUGACUCUAGGCACAAAAGCGAGGUGAUUCUAAAGGUGUAGCAUAGGUGGGAGGGCCUGGCCCGACCUUGAAAUACCACCACUUUCGACAUUGCUUUGCUAAUGCUGUAACGAACGAACGGCCCCCUGGACGUCGGUGCCCUCGCGGUAUCGGCCCCGGGUAAGGUCAUCUUCUAGCGCUUUCCUAGCUAGGUACGGUGGUUUGGCCCCUCUGGGUGAGUACCUUGGGACCACGAGCUGGGCUUACGAGUCUGGUGAGUGUCGCUUCCGGGGGAACCAGGGACGGUUGGAUCACCCUCUGCCUGGCGUAAUCGGGUACGUUAGCCGUGUAGCAGACCAUUUGUGUUGGGGAGUUUGGCUGGGGCGGAAAACUGCUACACGGCAACGGCAGUCUCCAAGGUCCACUCAGAGACGACAGAAACGUCUCGUAGAGCAUAAAGGCAAAAGUGGGCUUAACUUACAUUCUCAGUAGUAAUGUGAAGCAAGAAAUUGAGGCUUAACGGUCCUUAACGUCGGGUGCCAGCCCGCGUUUGAGGUGAGAGAAAAGUUACCACAGGGAUAACUGGCUUGUGGCCGCCAAGCGUUCAUAGCGACGUGGCUUUUUGAUCCUUCGAUGUCGGCUCUUCCUAUCAUACUAAAGCAGAAUUCAGUAAGUGUUGGA